ACCUGGGUGGCUCAGUCGGUUGAGCAUCUGACUUCGGCUCAGAUCAUGAUCUCACGGUUCGUGGGUUUGAGCCCCGCGUCGGGCU
rnacentral:tRNA from 1 species